rnacentral:rRNA from 1 species
AUAGCAAUAUCUAUGGUGGCGACCGGCGCACGGGUGCGUAACGCGUAUGCAACCUACCUUUAACAGGGGGAUAACAGUUGGAAACGGCUGCUAAUACCGCAUAAGCGCACGGCAUCGCAUGAUGCAGUGUGAAAAACUCCGGUGGUGUGAGAUGGACCCGCGUCUGAUUAGCCAGUUGGCGGGGUAACGGCCCACCAAAGCGACGAUCAGUAGCCGGCCUGAGAGGGUGAACGGCCACAUUGGGACUGAGACACGGCCCAAACUCC